rnacentral:rRNA from 1 species
ACUGCUCAGUAACACGUAGUCAACCUAACCUAUGGACGGAAAUAACCUCGGGAAACUGAGAAUAAUAUCCGAUAGAACACUAUACCUGGAAUGGUUUGUGUUCCAAAUGAUUUAUCGCCGUAGGAUGGGACUGCGGCCUAUCAGUUUGUUGGUGAGGUAAUGGCCCACCAAGACUAUUACAGGUACGGGCUCUGAGAGGAGUAGCCCGGAGAUGGGUACUGAGACACGGACCCAGGCCCUAUGGGGCGCAGCAGGCGAGAAAACUUUGCAAUGUGCGAAAGCACGACAAGGUUAAUCCGAGUGAUUUGUGCUAAACGAAUCUUUUGUUAGUCUUAGAACCACUAACGAAUAAGGGGUGGGCAAGUUCUGGUGUCAGCCGCCGCGGUAAAACCAGCACCUCAAGUGGUCAGGAUGAUUAUUGGGCCUAAAGCAUCCGUAGCCGGCUCUGUAAGUUUUCGGUUAAAUCUGUACGCUCAACGUACAGGCUGCCGGGAAUACUGCAGAGCUAGGGAGUGGGAGAGGUAGACGGUACUCGGAAGGAAGGGGUAAAAUCCUUUGAUCUUUUGAUGACCACCUGUGGCGAAGGCGGUCUACCAGAACACGUCCGACGGUGAGGGAUGAAAGCUGGGGGAGCAAACCGGAUUAGAUACCCGGGUAGUCCCAGCUGUAAACUAUGCAAACUCAGUGAUGCAUUGACUUGUGGUCAAUGCAGUGCUGCAGGGAAGCCGUUAAGUUUGCCGCCUGGGAAGUACGUACGCAAGUAUGAAACUUAAAGGAAUUGGCGGGGGAGCAC